CGCACGGUAAACGAUGGAUGCCCGCUGUUCGCCCAUUAGGGUGAGCGGCCAAGCGAAAGCGUUAAGCAUCCCACCUGGGGAGUACGCCGGCAACGGUGAAACUCAAAGGAAUUGACGGGGGCCCGCACAAGCGGAGGAACAUGUGGUUUAAUUCGAUGAUACGCGAGGAACCUUACCCGGGCUUGAAUUGCAGAGGAACAUAGUUGAAAGAUUAUGGCCGCAAGGUCUCUGUGAAGGUGC
rnacentral:rRNA from 1 species